AAGAGUCAGCCAUACAAAACUGGCGAACUUGAGUACGAUAGGGGAUAGCGGAAUUCUCGGUGUAGCGGUGGAAUGCGUAGAUAUCGAGAGGAACACCAAUGGCGAAGGCAGCUAUCUGGAUCGUAACUGACACUCAUGAGCGAAAGUGCGGGGAGCAAACAGGAUUAGAUACCCUGGUAGUCCCGCACCGUAAACGUUGUAUACUAGUUGUUGGUGGUUUCAACGCCAUCAGUGACGUCGCUAACGCAUUAAGUAUACCGCCUGGGGAGUAUGCUCGCAAGGGUGAAACUCAAAGAAAUUGACGGGGGCCCGCACAAGCGGUGGAGCAUGUGGUUUAAUUCGACCAUACGCGAGAAACCUUACCUGGGUUUGACAUGGAUUUGACUGGGGUAGAGAUACCCCUUCCCGCAAGGGCAGAUUCACAGGUGUUGCAUGGUCGUCGUCAGCUCGUGUUGUGAGAUGUUGGGUUAAGUCCCGCAACGAGCGCAACCCCUAUCUUCUGUUACCAUCAUUAAGUUGGGG
rnacentral:rRNA from 1 species